CUAAUCAGUAAUAAUGGACUAACCAAACCAACUCUUUUCUCUCCCAAGAGAAAACCUAACGACACCAUCCAAGCGUAACCCUAACGUCACCUCGCCGCCGCCACCCUUUACCCAUCGGACCAUCAGUUAAAGCUGAUUUUGACGUAACUGACGCCGCCUCCCAUCAACCCUAUCCCUUUCUCCCCUUUUCUUCAAGUAACAGAGCUUCAAACAGCUCGUCCAAGUCAAAUCAACCCCCUAAUCAAGAAGCACGCAAGGAUCUUUGGGUUUCUAAGCUGAUCUUCUAACAAUCCAUAAGAUAAAGGCUCCAAAAAAACUACUUCUAGCGGAUUCGGAGACUCGACGAUGACAAUAGCCUCAGUUCGCUGUCCCGGAGAAGGCAAUCACAUUCGUCUUCUCUUCAUCUUUAAUUUUGUAGAAAUCGAAAUGUAGUCGUGUUGUUGUUUUGUUGUUCUCAGCAUUCUUUGGAGUUCGCUUGUUUGAAUCUGCCCAUACUUUAUUUGUUAUAAAUAAACAUGAGAUAGUCAUGGCAAUCUAUUAGCGUUUAAAGAAAAUGAUCAUUGAACUUGCUGAAUACAUGAAAAGUAGUGUCGCUUGUCUAAAUAUCUGUUGUGGCAUCCCUUAAGGGACUGUUUUAUCAUGUAAAAUCAAGCAUGUAAAAUGGCUAAAAUAAAUCAUAACAUCAAAACAAAUGUCCUGAUUUGUUGGUAGUUAAUUCUAGUCUAUACACAUAGGUUCGAAUAAUCAUUUUGUUUUCGUUAGUUUGAAUCUGUCUACAUCCCACAAUCUUCUUUUUACCAUUAAGGUUGUAGAUAUAGAUGGCUUGAAUCAUGUUUUAUCCUUCAUUCAUGUCUUCAAAACCAGUUCUAGUAUGGAUCAAUAUUAAGAUGUUUGUGUCAAAUAGUUGUUUUCUACUUUCAUUUGGACAUGAGCAUGAAACAUUAUUUGUUUGAAGGCAUUGAAAGGUUAGCAUUGUCCCUGUUUUAGUAAUAAAAUGGUUGAUAACACAGCCGCUGCUAAUACGAUUUCCUAAAGCUCUACUAUAAAAUUCAUUUAGACCUUAUGACUAAAAAUAUCAUGCCGUGACUCUGUCUAGAAACCUAUAUGUGAAUAUAUGAUGCCUUAUAACUGAAAAGAAAAGGUUAUUAAGUUCGAUCAAAUAAAAGGGUGAUGUUUUGUUCGAGAGAAAAAGUUAUUAUUUUUAAGGAAAAUUUACUGUUUUGAUAUAAAAAGAAAGCUACUGUUUUUUUUUUUUAACUAAAAAGCUACUGUUUUUAACUAGAAAGGCUACUGUUUUCCGGUUAAAAAGUUACUAUUUUGGUUGGAACCAAGUAAACAGGACAUUCAUGCUCAUGGUGAUUUACUAAUAAUAUGCAGCUAUGGUUGUUAUUUCCCGCUUGAGCAGAUGCUUAAUUAGUAUUUAGAGAGCAACUGGCUUUAUAAACUAUGUGAAAUAAUGGAGUUGAGUUUGUUCAAUUGAAAAUAAUAGCUUUAACUUGUUCUGGGAGGAUGGUGGAUGUAUAAAUUCUUUAUCUAAGCAUGAUUGAUGAGUUAGAGUCCUGGGACCCUUUUAUUUUUUUUGUCGUCCAAUGUCUUUAGUUGAGGUACAUCAUUAGGAUUUGAUUUAAGUCCAUAGAACUAAUUUCUCAAGAGUUGUGGUUAUAAGGUCUCCAAAAAAAAAAAAAAUGUGAACCUGUGGGAACAAUCAAAUGGCCUAUUUAUAAUUCUCCGCCUUGAGUCUUUUAUAAGCCAUGAUUGCAUCAUGUUAGACUUAAGACCCUAACAUGUUUGAGUUGGAUUGUCGCCUUAAAAAUGGGUGCAUAAAACCAUUUGAAUCAUGUUCCUCUUUCUCUCGCUAAACCGGUCGAGUUAUGGUAUCAUUGUAGAACUAGUCUUGGGUACUUUUUCUUCCAAAUCUCGAACGAAAUGACCAGGUAUUAAAACAAGACUAGUUGUUCACGCGUUGAGUAUUUCUUAAAAGGAGUAGUAGUUUGCUGUGCUACUUUGGAGGUUGUUGUGUGCGUGAAAAUAUGCUAAUAAGGUUCUCUGCCCAACUUGCUUUUGUUUUGGCAAAUACAUACUUAUAAUUUUUGGGUUUUAGAACUUGGAGCCACAAAUGCUUUAAGAACUUGAAAGGAUCUCUUUUCCUUUUGUGAAGGUGUUUCUUUUUGUACUGGUUUGCUAAUGGGAUGAUAAGUGUGUUGGCUUUUCUGAUCACUCAUAUAGCAUCAUGGAAGUGUUAGAGAUUUGGGAAGCCGAACAUAAUUUAUUUUGAACCUAUUUUGAAGUAC